rnacentral:rRNA from 1 species
GUCGGGAAUUUUGGGCAAUGGGCGAAAGCCUGACCCAGCAACGCCGCGUGAAGGAUGAAAUCCCUCGGGAUGUAAACUUCGCAAGAAUGGGAAGAAUUAGCGAGCGCUAAUACCGCUCGUGAUGACGGUACCAUUUGUAAGCUCCGGCUAACUCCGUGCCAGCAGCCGCGGUAAUACGGGGGGAGCAAGCGUUGUUCGGAUUUACUGGGCGUAAAGGGCGCGUAGGCGGCCAGCGCAAGUCAGUUGUGAAAUCUCCGGGCUUAACUCGGAAAGGUCAACUGAUACUGCGCGGCUAGAGUGCGGAAGGGGCAACUGGAAUUCUCGGUGUAGCGGUGAAAUGCGUAGAUAUCGAGAGGAACACCUGCGGCGAAGGCGGGUUGCUGGGCCGACACUGACGCUGAGGCGCGAAAGCCAGGGGAGCGAACGGGAUUAGAAACCCGAGUAGUCC